rnacentral:rRNA from 1 species
GAGGAAAAGAAACUAACAAGGAUUCCCCUAGUAACUGCGAGUGAAGCGGGAAGAGCUCAAAUUUUGAAUCUGGCGGUCUUUGGUCCGUCCGAGUUGUAAUCUAGAGAAGCGUCUUCCGCGCUGGACCGUGUACAAGUCUCCUGGAAGGGAGCGUCAUAGAGGGUGAGAAUCCCGUCUUUGACACGGACUACCAGUGCUAUGUGAUGCGCUCUCGACGAGUCGAGUUGUUUGGGAAUGCAGCUCAAAAUGGGUGGUAAAUUCCAUCUAAAGCUAAAUACAGGCGAGAGACCGAUAGCGAACAAGUACCGUGAGGGAAAGAUGAAAAGAACUUUGGAAAGAGAGUUAAACAGUACGUGAAAUUGCUGAAAGGGAAACGCUUGAUGUCAGUCGCGUCGUCCGGGGAUCAACCUUGCUUCUCGCUGGGUGUAUUUCCCGGUCGACGGGUCAGCAUCAGUUUCGGUCGUCGUACAAGGGCGAGGGGAAUGUGGCACUCUUCGGAGUGUGUUAUAGCCUUUCGUCGUAUGCGGCGGUCGGGACUGAGGAACUCAGCACGACUUCCGUUG